AUUGAACGCUGGCGGCAGGCCUAACACAUGCAAGUCGAGCGGAUGAAGGGAGCUUGCUCCUGGACUCAGCGGCGGACGGGUGAGUAAUGCCUAGGAAUCUGCCUGGUAGCGGGGGAUAACGUCCGGAAACGGGCGCUAAUACCGCAUACGUCCUGAGGGAGAAAGUGGGGGAUCUUCGGACCUCACGCUAUCAGAUGAGCCUAGGUCGGAUUAGCUAGGUGGUGGGGUAAAGGCCUACCAAGGCGACGAACCGAAACUGGUCUGAGAGGAUGAUCAGUCACACUGGAACUGAGGAACGGUCCAGACUCCUACAGGAGGCAGCAGUGGGGAAUAUUGGACAAUGGGCGAGAGCCUGAUCCAGCCAUGCCGCGUGUGUGAAGACGGUCUUAGGAUUGUAAAGCGCUUUAAGUUGGGGGAAAGGACAGUAAGUUAAUACCUUGCUGUAUUGACGUUACCAGCAGAAUAAGCACCGGCUAACUUCGUG
rnacentral:rRNA from 1 species